GAUGAACGCUAGCUACAGGCUUAACACAUGCAAGUCGAGGGGAAACGGCAUUGAGUGCUUGCACUCUUUGGACGUCGACCGGCGCACGGGUGAGUAACGCGUAUCCAACCUUCCCAUGACUAAGGGAUAACCUGCCGAAAGGCAGACUAAUACCUUAUGGUCUUCACUGACGGCAUCAGAUGUGAAGUAAAGAUUUAUCGGUUAUGGAUGGGGAUGCGUCUGAUUAGUUAGUUGGCGGGGUAACGGCCCACCAAGGCAACGAUCAGUAGGGGUUCUGAGAGGAAGGUCCCCCACAUUGGAACUGAGACACGGUCCAAACUCCUACGGGAGGCAGCAGUGAGGAAUAUUGGUCAAUGGGCGAGAGCCUGAACCAGCCAAGUAGCGUGCAGGACGACGGCCCUAUGGGUUGUAAACUGCUUUUGUAUGGGGAUAAAGUCAAUCACGUGUGAUUGUUUGCAGGUACCAUACGAAUAAGGACCGGCUAAUUCCGUGCCAGCAGCCGCGGUAAUACGGAAGGUCCGGGCGUUAUCCGGAUUUAUUGGGUUUAAAGGGAGCGUAGGCUGGAGAUUAAGUGUGUUGUGAAAUGUAGACGCUCAACGUCUGACUUGCAGCGCAUACUGGUUUCCUUGAGUACGCGCAACGUUGGCGGAAUUCGUCGUGUAGCGGUGAAAUGCUUAGAUAUGACGAAGAACUCCGAUUGCGAAGGCAGCUGACGGGAGCGCAACUGACGCUGAAGCUCGAAGGUGCGGGUAUCGAACAGG
rnacentral:rRNA from 1 species